UUUCCGUAGGUGAACCUGCGGAAGGAUCAUUAUCGAAUUCUAGAGAACAGGGAGAAGAACUGGAGGCUGUCGCUGGCAUGGCAUGUGCACGCCUUUAUUUUUCUCUCUGCUCUCAUACAUACACACACCCGUGCACCCUUUGUAGGCCCUCGGAAACGAGGAUCUACGUUCUUUAUCUACCUACGCAUACGCAUGUCCAGAACGUAUCACAAAACAUUUACAACUUUCAGCAACGGAUCUCUUGGCUCUC
rnacentral:misc_RNA from 1 species